UCCACCGAUUGACUAAGGUUUCCAGAGGAAGGCUCGUCCGCUCUGGGUUAGUCGGGUCCUAAGCUGAGGCCGACAGGCGUAGGCGAUGGAUAACAGGUUGAUAUUCCUGUACCACCUAUAAUCGUUUUAAUCGAUGGGGGGACGCAGUAGGAUAGGCGAAGCGUGCGAUUGGAUUGCACGUCUAAGCAGUAAGGCUGAGUAUUAGGCAAAUCCGGUACUCGUUAAGGCUGAGCUGUGAUGGGGAGAAGACAUUGUGUCUUCGAGUCGUUGAUUUCACACUGCCGAGAAAAGCCUCUAGAUAGAAAAUAGGUGCCCGUACCGCAAACCGACACAGGUAGUCAAGAUGAGAAUUCUAAGGUGAGCGAGCGAACUCUCGUUAAGGAACUCGGCAAAAUGACCCCGUAACUUCGGGAGAAGGGGUGCUCUUUAGGGUUAACGCCCAGAAGAGCCGCAGUGAAUAGGCCCAAGCGACUGUUUAUCAAAAACACAGG
rnacentral:rRNA from 1 species